GAUGAACGCUGGCGGCGUGCCUAAUACAUGCAAGUAGAACGCUGAAGGAGGAGCUUGCUCUUCUGGAUGAGUUGCGAACGGGUGAGUAACGCGUAGGUAACCUGCCUGGUAGCGGGGGAUAACUAUUGGAAACGAUAGCUAAUACCGCAUGACAACAGUUAUUGCAUGAUAACUGUUUAAAAGGGGCAACUGCUCCACUACCAGAUGGACCUGCGUUGUAUUAGCUAGUUGGUGAGGUAACGGCUCACCAAGGCGACGAUACAUAGCCGACCUGAGAGGGUGAUCGGCCACACUGGGACUGAGACACGGCCCAGACGCCUACGGGAGGCAGCAGUAGGGAAUCUUCGACAAUGGACGGAAGUCUGACCGAGCAACGCCGCGUGAGUGAAGAAGGGUUUCGGAUCGUAAAGCUCUGUUGUAAGAGAAGAACGAGUGUGAGAGUGGAAAGUUCACACUGUGACGGUAUCUUACCAGAAAGGGACGGCUAACUACGUG
rnacentral:rRNA from 1 species